CGUUUACUGUCUCCCCUCCUCCUCAUCAGAAUGUAAGCUCCUCGAGGUGAAGGUCUGGGUUUGUUUUGUCCGACAAUGUAUCUAUCCCCAGGUCCGGGCACAGGCCGGGCACACAGCAGGCGCUCAGUAAAUAUUUCAUCGACGCGAUGAACUUGGCAAACAUCGCCCGAAUUCCUCUGGCCCCCUUUCUAGGCUCUGGCCAGGAGCCGGUAAACCAAGGCGAUUACAGCCUUCGGACCCAAGACACCACCCCGGAGCCCACAGCAUCUGCCAAUCUCGGCUUCUCCCCACCUCGGGGCCUUUGCACGUGCUGUGCCCUCAGCACCUCCCAGCGUCACCUGGACUACUUCCACAGACUCUUUUGGCCUCAGUUUGUGUGGCUUUAAGUGAGGCCUCGAGCGUCU
rnacentral:lncRNA from 1 species